rnacentral:misc_RNA from 1 species
GAUGAAGAACGUAGCGAAAUGCGAUAAGUAAUGUGAAUUGCAGAAUUCAGUGAAUCAUCGAAUCUUUGAACGCACGUUGCGCCCGCCAGUAUUCUGGCGGGCAUGCCUGUUCGAGCGUCAUUACAACCCUCAGGCCCCCGGGCCUGGCGUUGGGGAUCGGCGGAGCCCCCCGUGGGCACACGCCGUCCCCCAAAUGCAGUGGCGGUCCCGCCGCAGCUUCCAUCGCGUAGUAGCUAACACCUCGCGACUGGAGAGCGGCGCGGCCACGCCGUAAAACACCCAACUCUUCUGAAGUUGACCUCGAAUCAGGUAGGAAUACCCGCUGAACUUAAGCAUAUCAAUAAGCGGAGGA